rnacentral:rRNA from 1 species
UGGGGAAUUUUGGACAAUGGGCGAAAGCCUGAUCCAGCAAUGCCGCGUGUGUGAAGAAGGCCUUCGGGUUGUAAAGCACUUUUGUCCGGAAAGAAAUCCUUGGCUCUAAUACAGUCGGGGGAUGACGGUACCGGAAGAAUAAGCACCGGCUAACUACGUGCCAGCAGCCGCGGUAAUACGUAGGGUGCAAGCGUUAAUCGGAAUUACUGGGCGUAAAGCGUGCGCAGGCGGUUUGCUAAGACCGAUGUGAAAUCCCCGGGCUCAACCUGGGAACUGCAUUGGUGACUGGCAGGCUAGAGUAUGGCAGAGGGGGGUAGAAUUCCACGUGUAGCAGUGAAAUGCGUAGAGAUGUGGAGGAAUACCGAUGGCGAAGGCAGCCCCCUGGGCCAAUACUGAUGCUCAUGCACGAAAGCGUGGGGAGCAAACAGGAUUAGAUACCCUGGUAGUCCACGCCCUAAACGAUGUCAACUAGUUNUUGGGGAUUCAUUUCCUUAGUAACGUAGCUAACGCGUGAAGUUGACCGCCUGGGGAGUACGGUCG